GGGAACGAAGGGGCAGCAGCCGGGUUAGUACGAUGGGGGAAGUCGUUGGCCGGAUGUAGUGGGUUGAAAGGGUGCGUAGUCGGGUCUAUAAGUCAGUGCGGAAAUGUCCCGGCUUAACCGGGAGGGUGGCAUUGAUACUGCAGAGCUUGAGUAAAGUUGAAGUUGGCGGAAUUGACGGUGUAGCGGUGAAAUGCUUAGAUAUCGUCAAGAACACCGAUAGUGAAGACAGCUAACUAAGCUUUAACUGACGCUGAGGCACGAAAGUGUGGGGAUCAAACAGGAUUAGAUACCCGGGUAGUC
rnacentral:rRNA from 1 species